rnacentral:rRNA from 1 species
UAUGGCUCAGAUUGAACGCUGGCGGCAGGCCUAACACAUGCAAGUCGAGCGGUAACAGGAAUAGCUUGCUAUUCGCUGACGAGCGGCGGACGGGUGAGUAACGCGUAGGAAUCUGCCCGGUAGUGGGGGAUAGCCCGGAGAAAUCCGGAUUAAUACCGCAUACGCCCUAAGGGGGAAAGCAGGGGAUCUUCGGACCUUGCGCUAUCGGAUGAGCCUGCGUCNGAUUAGCUUGUUGGUGGGGUAAUGGCCUACCAAGGCAACGAUCCGUANCUGGUCUGAGAGAAUGAUCAGCCACACCGGAACUGAGACACGGUCCGGACUCCUACGGGAGGCAGCAGUGGGGAAUAUUGCACAAUGGGCGCAAGCCUGAUGCAGCCAUGCCGCGUGUGUGAAGAAGGCCUUCGGGUUGUAAAGCACUUUCAGCAGGGAGGAAAGGUUGUAAAUUAAUACUUUGCAGCUGUGACGUUACCUGCANAANAAGCACCGGCUAACUCCGUGCCAGCAGCCGCGGUAAUACGGAGGGUGCAAGCGUUAAUCGGAAUUACUGGGCGUAAAGCGCGCGUAGGCGGCUUGUUAAGCCAGAUGUGAAAGCCCCGGGCUUAACCUGGGAACUGCAUUUGGAACUGGCAGGCUAGAGUACAGAAGAGGGUGGUAGAAUUUCCUGUGUAGCGGUGAAAUGCGUAAGAUAUAGGAAGGAAUACCAGUGGCGAAGGCGGCCACCUGGUCUGAUACUGACGCUGANGUGCGAAAGCNUGGGGGAGCAAAACAGGAAUUANAUACCCUGNUNAGUCCCCGCCGUAAAACGAUGUCNACUAACCCGUUUGGGACCCCUU